GUGUUUGCUUUGGCAGUACAUAUACUAAAAUUGGAAUGAUACAGAGAAGAUUAGCAUGGUGCCUGCACAAGGAUGACAUACAAAUUCAUGAAGCAUUCUAUAUUAAA
rnacentral:snRNA from 1 species